UACGUAGGGGCUAGCGUUGUCCGGAUUUAUUGGGCGUAAAGAGCGUGUAGGCGGCCAUGUAGGUCCGGUGUGAAAACUCGAGGCUUAACCUCGAGAUGUCAUCGGAAACCAUUGGCUAGAGUCCGGAAGAGGCGAGUGGAACUCCUGGUGGUAGCGGUGGAAUGACGCAGAUAUCAGGAAGAACACCCGUGGCGAAGCGGCUCUCUGGUACGUGACUGACGCUGAGACGCGAAGCGUGGGGAGCAAACAGG
rnacentral:rRNA from 1 species